ACACCUCAACUCUCACAGUUUGCUGUGAUGAGCUUGGACUUUGGAGGUUUUUGCUGGCCUGUGGUCGGCUCCUCUCAAAUGAAUUAGCUUGCCAGUUUUCGGCGGCGUCACAGGUGUGAUAACUAUCUACGCUCGUGGUUGUCUGCUGGGUAACCUUUCGGCAACGGAGGUUUGCUGGAGCUCAUAAACGUCUCUCCUCAGUGAAGACAGCUUUUUGAACGU
rnacentral:misc_RNA from 1 species